AUUGAACGCUGGCGGAAUGCUUUACACAUGCAAGUCGAACGGCAGCACGGACUUCGGUCUGGUGGCGAGUGGCGAACGGGUGAGUAAUAUAUCGGAACGUGCCCAGUCGUGGGGGAUAACGUAGUGAAAAUUACGCUAAUACCGCAUACGAUCUACGGAUGAAAGCGGGGGAUCGCAAGACCUCGCGCGAUUGGAGCGGCCGAUAUCAGAUUAGGUAGUUGGUGAGGUAAAGGCUCACCAAGCCGACGAUCUGUAGCUGGUCUGAGAGGACGACCAGCCACACUGGAACUGAGACACGGUCCAGACUCCUACGGGAGGCAGCAGUGGGGAAUUUUGGACAAUGGACGCAAGUCUGAUCCAGCCAUUCCGCGUGCAGGACGAAGGCCUUCGGGUUGUAAACUGCUUUUGUACAGAACGAAAAGGUCUCUAUUAAUACUAGGGGCUCAUGACGGUACUGUAAGAAUAAGCACCGGCUAACUACGUGCCAGCCGCCGCGGUAA
rnacentral:rRNA from 1 species